UCAGCAUGUCGCGGUGAAUACGUUCCCGGGCCUUGUACACACCGCCCGUCACACCACGAGAGUUUGCAACACCCGAAGUCGGUGAGGUAACCUUUACGGAACCAGCCGCCGAAGGUGGGGCAGAUGAUUGGGGUGAAGUCGUAACAAGGUAUCCCUACCGGAAGGUGGGGAUGGAUCACCUCCUUUCU
rnacentral:rRNA from 1 species